AAAGAAAAAAAUGAAUAAAGGAAUUUUUUUCUUGGAAUCCUUUUGUCUACGUGUCCUUUUAAAUAUGGCGUCCUGGCGGAUGUGACAGAGUUCAGAUCAUUUCUCUACUGACCGGCUGACGCAGUGAGCUGCAGUCAGCACCCAGCUCUUGGCGAUCAGGGAGCCGCCACACCAAUGCCCGGAUCCAUUCCACUGCAGGCUGACCUUCCAAGGCCAUCUUCCCGACGACGCAUUCUGACCGCCAACUAUUUUGGGAAUUUGAGGAGCGAUGCCGCACUCUGCAAGAGAAAUCAGAAGGACUUACCUGCGAAAAGGAGGCUCAGCAAAGCCAGAACCUGCAGCAGUUUCCAUGAAGCCAUUGUGAACGUAGCAGCAGAAUCUGUCUGUCAACUUUUAUAUCCUCCCAAACCCUCCUAAAGGAUGCAACGAAAUAAGCUGUAUGUGAAAAACACAAUAAUAAAACCACUGAAGUUAAUUGUGACGAAGAGCAGGAAAAGAUUUCAUCAUGAUCCUGGUGAAAUAUUAGAUUUAUCUCCAACCAAAAAUCCAUUUUUUAAGUUCCUGGAAAUUAGUUUUGAGCUACUUCUUUGAUUAGUAUCUGAUUUUGCACUGGUGCUGCUGUACUGACUACGUUUUUAUUUUUAAAUCUGAAUAAACACACUUUGCAAGUUUCAAAACCAAGAAUCUUUUACAGAUAUUUAAUGAGUAAAACUUAAAUUAAACACUUUGGACUAGAUUGUUAAUAAAACUCGACAUCAUCAAAAGUCAUCUCUGUGCCGAAUUACUGUUGACAACAAAUAACAACUGAUUAGCUCAGUUUUUGUG